GUGUUCAUUCACCUUGCCUGCUUUCGGUUUGUUACAAGCUGAAAAGCUAACACGAUGGGAUGGCCCUGUUCUGGCUUAAUUUUAACUGUUGCUGCUUUUCGUCUUAGUCAGGUGCUAGGUAAUGCUUGAGUAUUUCAGCUUUGCCCAUUGAGGUGGUGGCAGUGGGGCUGGUUUUCUUUCUUUACUCCGACGUCACCGUACCUACCAAGUGUUGUUGUCCCGGGGGGUAACUUUGUGUUUGGUUCUGCUGUGAUUUUGAACGGAGGAUUCCUGGUGUAUAGUUUUUCGUAACUGGGAGGGAAUUGAGAGUAGGAAUUGCAUAAUGAUGUCACUUGAUGUAAGACAGUUGCCUUUCAAACCUUUGUUAAUGUGCCCAGCACGUUGUAUAUUCGGUUUGAUCCUUGUAAACAUGAUGGAGUAAGGGAAAGUGGGGGUCAGAGAGGACCAAUGCGUUUUUAGAUUAGUUGAAACAAUCUUGAAGUUUAUGGAAGGUGAGUCUUUCUUGAUAGCAGCAAAAGGAAAGCGGAGGGUUAUUGAAAGCUGAGACAUCACCCUGGUGGUGGAGUGGGGGGAACUUAGUGCUGUGGAUGACUGUUCAAGGAUGUAGGGAUAGUUCAGCCAUCACUUAAAUGAUGGGGGUUGGUCAGUCUCAGGGAGAAACCUGUCCAUUCAUGUAAAAUUAUUGAAUUUUUUAAAAAGGUUUUUAUUUAUUUAUUUUGAGAGAGAGUGCAUGCACAUAGAUGUGUGAGGUGGGGAAGAGCAAAGAGAGGGAGAGAGAGAGAGAGAGACAGGGACAGAGGGAGUAAAUCCCAAGUAGGCUCCACACCGGCAGCAUGGAGCCCAACGUGGGGCUUGAUCUGUGGGGCUUCACAGCUGUGAAGCUGUGAGAUCAUGACCUGAACCAAAAUCAAGAUGAGCCGCUUACCCCAUUGAGCCACCCAGGCACCCUAAAUUACUGAAUUUCUAUAAAAGUGAGAUACAUGAUGUGUAACACAUUUGUAACUUUAAAAGCGUGCUAAAAAAUGGGGCGCCUGUGACAGUGCAGAGCCUGCUUGGGAUUCUCUCCCUCUCCCCCCCACUCUCUCUGCCCUUCCUGUGCAUGCUCUUUCUCUCAAAAUAAAUAAACAAACUUAACAAACAAAAAUAAAUUUCAAAACAAGUGUGCUAACAAAGCCUGUAGUAGAAACGAUGUAUCCCCACUGCCUUCUUCCCAUCGAUGCCUGCUGUUUCGGUUCCCAGAGACGAGCACGUUUCAACCGUAACUGAUUCUCAGGUUUUUCCCAUCAUCAUUUAAAAACUGCUAUCUUCAUGUCCAAUUUUGGAUACUGUGUUGGCUUACUUUUGAGGUGGAUGACUCUGCUUUCUUAAAUCUUCCGCUUUCUAUCAGGGUAAUCUAUUACAGUUCUUGGUUAAAUCCUUAAUGUUUUUACUGUUAAGAUUAUGUAAAUAUUUAGUGUUGAGUAAGUAGUGUAGGUGCAUUUCCUGUGUAGAGCACAGUAUAUUCUAAGACAUCUUUUGUUUUUCUUCAAGUUAAUAGUUGCUUCGCAGUUUCAUUGGCUUCAUCUUUUUGGAAACAGUGGCUGGUUGUUCUCACUUUCCAGCAGCUCUCACAAAGCUUUCAGGAACAUUUGCACAUACCUAUCAUACAUUUUAUAAAUUUCUUUUUGCAGAAAUCUCCUUCACGGAGCCUUUCGUCUCCCUGCUCCUGUCUGUCCUGGUGCACUCAUUACUGGCUGUACUACAUAGCUGCCCUCCCAGGAAUUUUUUAUUUGCUUUUCUUUUUCUUUCUUUCUUUUUUUUUUUUUUUAAUCUUCUGUUUCCUAGAUCCCGUGUUUUCUUUUUUCUUGGUUUAUUCCCCCGGUUUGUUAAGAAACAUCCCCAGGAGCUUUCUGAGAAAGGAAGCAUGGGAAUAGGUAUUUUCUGACUUUGAAAGUCUGAUAAGAUCUUGAUUCUAUCUUCAUACUUGAUUGCUGUCUGACUGGGCAUAAGUCUUCCAAGUUAUAAAUAUUCUCCCCUUAGGAUUUUGAAGGCAUUUCUUCACUGUCUCCUGUCUUCCAGUGUCACUGUUGAGAAGUCAAAUAGUAGUCUUAUUCCUGUCCCUUUGUUCUCCCCUUCUAUCCCCUGAAGGUUUUAAGAUUUCCUCUUUAUCCCUAGUGUUCUGAAGUUUCACCGUCACUUGUUCCACCCACCCCCCCAACUCCCCAGUUCGUUGUGAAACAUUUGACUGUGUAAACUUACAGUCUUUAGUUGGGGGAAUUUUCUUCUAAUUUAUUUCUCUGAAGAUUUUUUCUUUCAUUUAAGGGAAAAAAAAAAAAAAAAAAAACCUGGGCAACUGUUAGUCAGAUAUUGGACCUCUUAAAAUUGAUCCCUUUUUUUUGUUCUAUUAUAUACAUAUUGAGCCUAUUGUUUAUCUCUUUAUCUUGCCUUCUGGAAGAUUUCUUGGACUUUAUAUUCCAGUAUUUUUACUGAGUUUAAGAUUUUCUGUUAUGUAAAUAUGAAUUAUAAUUUCCAAGAGCUCUUUUUAAUAGCAUCUUGUUCUUGUUUCACGGAUGCCGUUUCUUGUCCUAACUUUCUCAUCCGAGGAAGAGGAAAUGAAGUUGCAGGGGGAGCCCAGCCCCCUUCCUUUUCCAGAGCUUCACCUCAUCCCAAAUGUCUUUUAACCUUUGUUAAAGGCAAAUUACUCCCCCACUGAGUGUUUUAAAACAGUGAUGAUUUCUGAUUUGUCACCGUUCUGUGGGGAGGUUGGUUAGGAUGGCCCCUGACACGGGUCUGACAGUUGGCAGACUGGCUGGCCUGGGGAGCCUCAGCCGGACUGAAUGGCUCUACCCUCCUCCUUGUUCUGUGUAGUCUUCUGUCUUCCGGUAGGGCUGGGCUGGGCUCUUUCCUGCAUUCAGUGGGGGUGAGUGUGGGGGCUGCAGUCUCUCUCCAGAGGCGUAAGCGUGGAACUGAGUCUCAUCACUUCCGUCACAUUGUGUUCUUCAAAAUAAGUCGUAAGGCUAGCCCAGGUUUGGGGGCGAUUUGGUGGAAAAAGUUGCACAGAAUGGCUACUUGUCUAUCCCACACUGUUUUCCUCUCAGCACCUCAUCCCAGUCCUCCCUGUGCAUGCUGGCUGCUUCCAGAGCUAAACCAUUUAAAAUGCCUUCAUCCAGCUUCUGAGCUCUUAUUUUGGUUCAGGUUUGCAGGUAUCUCAUAGUUUCGUGGAAAAUGGAGUUUGUGUUUUGUUUCUCAUUCUUUAUACUGGUCGGGGAUAAUUUUAGAGGGAAGUAGGUGGAAACUACUUUCACUUCGUUUUAAGACUGGAAAUACUCUUUCUGAAGAUGAAUGAGAGUACAGGUGUUCGGUGUACAUGAGAGGAGUGUUCUUCUAUUUGUGAUGGAUUCUUUUCGCUUAACCCAUUCGUCAGUGAGUCCGUUUUAUGAAUUUCAUACAUGUGCUGGGUACUAUCAGUUCUUGCUUUUCACCAAUUUAUAAUCUUAGGAUGCAAUGUUGUUUUUUUUUUUUUAAAGUUUAUUUAUUUAUUUUGAGAGAGAGAGAGAGAGAGAGAGGAGAGAGAGAGAGAGUAUGUGCAGGUGGGGAAGGGGCAAAGAGAGGGAGAGAGAAUCCCAAGCAGGCCCCGCACCACCAGAGCCCGAUGCAGGGCUUGAACUGCCGAACUGUGAAUUCAUGACCUGAGCUGAAGUUGGACGCCCAACCAGCUGAGCCACCCAGGUGCCCCCAGGAUGUAAGAUGUUUUUAUAAAAAUGUAAUUAACUUUACCAGAAUGAAGACACUAGUACCACCUGUGGAGUUAAUAACACCUGGAUAUGAUGUACGUUAGGCAUCCUGUAGUUGCCUACAGUAAGGAAGGGGCCACUUUGGCCUGCGUAGUCACAGGAGGCAGCGUGAAGGCAGAUGUCAGAAGGUGGGCUGGAUUUUGAUAAGCAGAGGGUCUGCUCACAUAAGGUCUUUGCUGAUAAGGACAGGGAGCAACAUGAGCAGAGGAAUGGUGGUUAAAAAGUCGGGAGACAGAACUGGAGAGAACAGGUUGGUUAGGGUAGAGGUUCUGCAGUGGACAAUGAGUAGGUCAGGUGGACAAUAGAUUGUGGGUGUCCUUUUGAGCCAUAACAAGAGCUUUGCCAUGUUCUUUAAGAACUGAAGAGUGUAAAAAAAACAUUUUUUUAAUGUUUAUUUUUUGAGAGAGAGAGAGAGAGAGACAGACAGACAGACAGAGCAUGAGCGGGGGAGGAGCAGAGAGAGAGGGAGACAACAGAAUGCGAAGCAGGCUCCAGGCUCUGAGUUGUCAGCACAGAGCCUGACGCGGGGCUCGAACUCACGAACUGUGAGAUCAUGACCUGAGCCAAAGUCAGACGCUCAACCAACUGAGCCACCCAGGCGCCCCAAGAGUUGUUUUUUUUGAGAGUAGAUGAUCGGUUGGGGAAAAAAUUGUUCAAAAGGGGUGGAACCUAUCUGUAGGGAGGUGGAACUUCUUUUUUUUUUUUUUUUUUAAGGGAGGUAGAACUUCUGUCUCCGGUCUAGAUGGCAGGAGAUGAGAGACUGUUGGGUGCUAACAGUGGGAACUGAAAGGUAGGAAUAUAUACCUACAGGAGAUUAUUUUAAAGGAAAAACUGGAGCUUGGGGGGCAGCUUGCCUAUAGAGGAUGAGAAUGCAUCCCUGUUAGCUCACUUUGGCUCUAGACCAGAUAAAUGAUGCUGUCAAGGACGGGAGUGGAGAACGUUGGGAAGGGGACUUGUCUUAGGGGAAAGACGAUGAGGACAUUGGUGUGUUUUGGGUUUGAAGGGGUGUUGGGACUCUUCGCUGGAGAGGUCUAUGUAGCAAGCACCUUGAGAAAUAAGCAUUUGGGGAGCUUCUUUUAUAACAGUGGUGGUUCAGAUUUUAAGAUUAGAAGAACUCUUGAAUAGGGAGAAAAGAGAAAGUAAAGGAAGAGUAUAUGGCAGAGCCCAGGACCAUGUCUGAAGGGAACCUAUCGGGGAAUGGGUGGAGAAAGGUGAAAAUUAGAUACUCCUGAGAACAGUGUGUGUGUGUGUGUGUGUGUGUGUGUGUGUACGUGUUCCUACCCUCACGGAGGAAGAGAGAGCCUUGUAAGCAAAUGCAAUGAAAAGUGUCUCUGUAAGUACUGUAUUACCCCCGACCCCCCAACAGGUAAGGAGCAGGCUGGCCCUAACCUCUGAAAGGUGAAGAGCCAUGGGCGGGCGGAUGGCAGGGAGCAGCACAUUCUGGAGGAGGACGUGUUCUUCUUACCAUAGCUUUCAGCACAGCAGAGCUCCCUGUGAGAGCAACAGUGUUGCUCUUACACACUGUCUGGACUGAUCCUGGACAUUCCCAGUCUUUCCCAAUGAUUUGAAUCCUAACUAACCCUUCUGUGUAAACAAGGGUGACUUCUUUCUCAAGCACUAGAUGUUAAUAGGUGAUGGAAGAAUGGGGUUGUGUCUUUGAAGAGCCCAGUAAAUAACAAAGCAUUGAACUCCUUUUAAAUAACCACUUACAAGUGAGCUAUAAUUCUGGUUCCUAAAUUAAAUAUGGUGAUGGCUGAGCAGUUUUGGAGACAAAGACAGUUAACCUAGUAAUCGUGGCUGUGGUAGAAUUCUGGGCCACCAGUAUAUCAAGACAGACUUUUGCCUUUUUUUAUGAUGGGACCUGUUGGUGGAUGAAAGCCCUUGACUGCAGACUAGCGUUGUGGUUCAGUCCCCACGCUACGCACAGACUUCUGAGCAGAAAGUCCUCUGUCAUCAUUGGCUAGUUUUUAGCAUUUGUGGCUUGAUCAUUUGAGUUUGGAUGUCCAUAUUGGAAACCUGUCAGUUCUUUUUGGAAAAGUGAAUUGAGCCAAUAUUUAUUAAAACAACUUCAAAUAUAUAUCCCAUUGAUAAUAGUUAGUAUUCAUCAUUAUUCUAAAA